AUUGAACGCUGGCGACAUGCCUUACACAUGCAAGUCGAACGGCAGCACGGGAGCAAUCCUGGUGGCGAGUGGCGAACGGGUGAGUAAAGUAUCGGAACGUGCCCAGUCGUGGGGGAUAACGUAGCGAAAGUUACGCUAAUACCGCAUACGAUCUAUGGAUGAAAGCGGGGGAUCGCAAGACCUCGCGCGAUUGGAGCGGCCGAUAUCAGAUUAGGUAGUUGGUGGGGUAAAGGCUCACCAAGCUGACGAUCUGUAGCUGGUCUGAGAGGACGACCAGCAACAAGGGGACUGAGAAACGGCCCAAACUCAUACGGGAGGCAGCAGUGGGGAAUUUUGGACAAUGGGCGAAAGCCUGAUCCAGCCAUGCCGCGUGCAGGAUGAAGGCCUUCGGGUUGUAAACUGCUUUUGUACGGAACGAAAAGGUUUGGCCUAAUAAGCUGAGCUCAUGACGGUACCGUAAGAAUAAGCACCGGCUAACUACGUGCCAGCAGCUGCGGUAAGAC
rnacentral:rRNA from 1 species